rnacentral:misc_RNA from 1 species
AACGCACCUUGCGCUCCUUGGUAUUCCGAGGAGCAUGCCUGUUUGAGUGUCAUUUAAUUCUCAACCACUCCGGCUUUUGUGGCUGGCCAAGUGGCUUGGAUGUGGGGGAAUUUGUCUGCGGGCCUCUUCAGAGGUCAGCUCCCUGAAAUGCAUUAGUGGAACUGUUUGCGGGACUGUUCACUGGUGUGAUAAUUAUCAACACCGAAAACAACCGCUUUCAUGAGGUUCUGCUUCUAACUGUCCCUUCAUGUGGACAACAAUAUUUGAAUGCUUGACCUCAAAUCAGGUAGGACUACCCGCUGAACUUAA